GCAAAAAUGAAACCCCGCGUGGUUCGUUCCUAACGUUGCGGAAGCGGAGAACAGCUGAACAAAUCAACGUUCCGUCUUCAAGGGUCCUUGUGUAGAUUUCAGCACAAGGAACUAAGGUGUGACCAACAUCUUUAUUUCCUUCCCCAAGAUGUGUGAGGAACACACCGUGACCGCUCACUAACAGAGAAGACAGUACACGCUGUGUCUGUGUAUGUGUUAUGACACGGUCCACGGCCAGCUCCACAGUCGAUAGCACUUAAAAGUUACACAUUAACUGGAUAACCGUGCAAAUUUGAAGGGGACUGAACGAGACUUUAGCUAGACUCUAGUGAACCAAUCAUCUGCACAGGAUCGAGAGGAAUUUCGUCUUUUAGGAGAGUUUUGAUAUCUGUUUCUACCAGAAGAAGGAGCUCUUAGGA